rnacentral:tRNA from 1 species
GCAUUCGUGGCCGAGUGGUCGAAGGCACCGGACUCAUAAUCUGGCUUCUUAGUAACAUCACUGGUUCAAAUCCAGUCGAAUGCA